CAAGAGACAUGGGAGAGCAUCAUUCCUUUGAGAUUUUAUAACUCAAACCAACUUUGGAGUUGUCUGAUUUGGAGUCAUUAUUCUUGGUCUUCGCUCUUAGAGGCCACUGAUGAAGAACAGGCGGUGACUGGGAUGAAUGCUGGUCAGAGAGGAGAAACUUUCCCCUAAACAGCGGUGGUUUUAAAGGAGGACGCUGCCCUGGAUGAUGUAGAAGAUGUCACAUGCUGUGCUGAUGGGGUUUCUUCAUGAUUACAUCAGUUAUGCUAAAGAGAUCAUGAAAAUUGACUGUGAUGCAUGAUCUGUAUUCAUGGACUAUGAAACAAACUGUAAGUGCAUAAUUUGUUUAAAAAAAAAAAAAGUUAAAUGCUUUUUCUGGGUUGUUUAGUAGAAGAGUUUACACUCUGUCAUUCAUACACCUGCUCACAUUCUUUCACACACACACACACACACACAUGCGUCUGUUAAAUGUUAUAAUAUCAAAGUUAAUGUUGUGAUUUAUUUGUGUACUGUCAUGCCAGAAUAGUUGGAAAAAAACCUAACUAAUUGUAAAUUUAUUGUAUGUGUUUUCGUAUAUUUGUAUACAAUAUAUACAAUUGAACAAAGUCCAAUUUGAUUUUAAGUUAUAUUCAUCAAAUGUUCAAUGCUUUAUGAAUUCUGUAGCUGUUAAUGCCAUCCUUU